rnacentral:lncRNA from 1 species
AGAGAGGUUGAGUAACUUACCCAAGUUUUCAUAGCCGAUCAAUCGUGGAAACAAGAUUUAAACCCAGGCAGUUUUUCUCCAGAGCCUGCCUUCUUUUUCACCACUAAACAUAAAUGUCAACAGAGAGAUGUGUGAGGGCUGAUUGUGAGCAUGUCUUCCCAAGUCUGAAUUCAGUGACCUCACAUUAGUAGCCUGAAAUCAGCUGUGGUAAAUGUAUUCCCACCAUGGAAAUCAGUAAAUGCUGUAAUCAGAGCUCCUCUUGCCUCUCCGGAGCUGGUUGCUAAACAUUUACCAGCACACCACUGGUUACAGACACAUUUGGAAAGCUGUUUGACGGAAUAUUGCAGGUAGGAGCAUAAAUCCAGUCCCUGGUACUCCAUCUUGGCCAGAGUAGAAGUCCAAGUUCAUCUGAGAAAUGUAUUGGAAGCAGCACUUGCCCCAUCUGUCUGUCCUGGCUCCACUACAGUGCCCGCCAUGACCAGGGUUUGUCCACUAGCUGGAGAUCAUACUAUUACAACAAAGAGGCUACUUACAUGGGGCUCUUUCUAAGUGAGCAGAGUCAGCUCAAAUUCUGCACAAGAGACAAUCUACCUGCCAACUCUGGUCUGCAGCAUGAGGAGCUCUUUUGCUGAUGGGCAAAAGGUUUGAAUCCUGGUUCCACCAUGGCUAAUUGGGUGACAGUGGACAACCUACUUUCUGGGCCCCAGUUUCUUAUGUUUUCCUUCUGACUGAUUGGACUUGCCAUGCUGCGUUCUUUUAUCUGCUUGUCCUUCUUGUGCCCCAGAAAUUCCCCCAAAACAUAUGAUAUUGAGAAGAAAAUAUUAAAUAUAUACAGCAGCAUCAUGCCUUAAAAAAACAUUAUUGGAUUAUUUACAUACCUUCCAUUCAAUGAUGUUAGCAUAGUAUGUUGGUCUGGAAUUGAAAAUAUACUCAGUAUCACCUACAUUGCCUGUGCAUUUUAAUUUGGGGGUUACCUGUCCAAACCCUCUCUCUCAGAACUCUGCCAAAUAUCAUCCAUCAUUCAUACCAUGACUGGAAUUUCCAUCUCUAUUAUUUCAUUCUCCUGGUAUAAACAAUCAUGUCUUGGGUAGCUAGCAUCUUCCCCUGGCAUUUAGCUCCCAUGCAAUGUAGGAAAAAAAAUUCACUCUAUAGGGCAGUCCAUUGUCCUCCAUUUGUAGGCACUCUUGGUCUGUAAACUAAAAUGUUUAAUUACUAGAAUAUAGUAUAAGAAAACAUUACGUUUGCAAGCCUCAUAAUGUUGUUCAUGGAUUUACACUUUCCCAGUUGCAUGCAUGUUAACCUAGAUUACUCCUAGUUUCCAGAAUGAGGGCAAGGGAAUGUU